rnacentral:RNase_P_RNA from 1 species
AGAGUCAGCCGGAUAGCCGCUGCCUCGCAACUGUCCUUGGCGCGACCAAGCAUAGGGGCGGGGAAGAGGAAAGUCCGGGCUCCAUAGGGCAAGGCGCCAGGUAACGCCUGGGCGACGUGAGUCGACGGAAAGUGCCACAGAAAAGAUACCGCCCUGGAGAAUGGGGUCAGAGUCGAUUUUACUGGUGGACAAGGCGUUACCGUUGAAAUCGACUCCAACCCCAUUUUUCAGUGGUAAGGGUGAAAUGGUGCGGUAAGAGCGCACCGCGCUUGUGGUAACACGAGCGGCAGGGUAAACCCCGCCGGGAGCAAGACCAAAUAGGGACCCAUUGGUACGGCCCGUACCGGGUCCGGGUAGGUCGCUGGAGGCGUGCGGUGACGUGCGUCCUAGAUGAAUGGCUGUCUAUUACAGAACCCGGCUUACAGGCUGACUCCCACC